GGUUUGAUUCUGGCUCAGAUUGAACGCUGGCGGGAUGCUUUACACAUGCAAGUCGAACGGCAGCACGGACUUCGGUCUGGUGGCGAGUGGCGAACGGGUGAUAAUGUAUCGGAACGUGCUCGUAGCGGGGGAUAACUACGCGAAAGCGUAGCUAAUACCACAUACGCCCUUCGGGGAAAGCGGGGGACCUUCGGGCCUCGCACUAUUAGAGCGGCCGAUAUCGGAUUAGCUAGUUGGUGGGGUAACGGCUCACCAAGGCGACGAUCCGUAGCUGGUUUGAGAGGACGACCAGCCACACUGGGACUGAGACCUGGCCCAGACUCCUACGGGAGGCAGCAGUGGGGAAUUUUGGACAAUGGGGAAACCCUGAUCCAGCCAUCCGCGUGUGCGAUGAAGGCCUUCGGGUUGUAAAGCACUUUUGGCAGGAAAGAAACGGCACGGGAUAAUACCCCGUGCAACUGACGGUACCUGCAGAAUAAGCACCGGCUAACUACGUGCCAGCAGCCGCGGUAAUACGUAGGGUGCAAGCGUUAAUCGGAAUUACUGGGCGUAAAGCGUGCGCAGGCGGUUCGGAAAGAAGAUGUGAAAUCCCAGAGCUUAACUUUGGAACUGCAUUUUUAACUACCGAGCUAGAGUGUGUCAGAGAGAGGUGGAAUUCCGCGUGUAGCAGUGAAAUGCGUAGAUAUGCGGAGGAACACCGAUGGCGAAGGCAGCCUCCUGGGAUAACACUGACGCUCAUGCACGAAAGCGUGGGGAGCAAACGGGAUUAGAUACCCUGGUAGUCCACGCCCUAAACGAUGUCAACUAGCUGUUGGGGCCUUCGGGCCUUGGUAGCGCAGCUAACGCGUGAAGUUAACCGCCUGGGAGGUACGGUCGCAAGAUUAAAACUCAAAGGAAUUGACGAGGACCCGCACAAGCGGUGGAUGAUGUGGAUUAAUUCGAUGCAGCAUAGCGCACACCUUGACAUGUCUGGAAUCCCGAAGAGAUUUGGGAGUGCUCGCAAAGAGAACCGGAACACAGGUGCUGCAUGGCUGUCGUCAGCUCGUGUCGUGAGAUGUUGGGUUAGAAUCCCGCAACAGGCGCAACCCACUUGUCAUUAGUUGCUACGAAAGGGCACUCUAAUGAGACUGCCGGUGACAAACCGGAGGAAGGUGGGGAUGACGUCAAGUCCUCAUGGCCCUUAUAGGUAGAGACUACACGUCAUACAAUGGUCGAGACAAGAGGUCGCCAGCCCGCGAGGGGGGCAAUCCCGAAACCCGAUCGUAAGUCCGGAUCGCAGUCUGCAACUCGACUGCGUGAAGUCGGAAUCGCUAGUAAUCGCGGAUCAGCAUGUCGCGGUGAAUACGUUCCCGGGUCUUGUACACGCCGCCCGUCACACCAUGGGAGUGGGUUUACACCGAAGUAGUUAGCCUAACCGUAAGGAGGGCGAUUACCACGGUAGGAUUCAUGACUGGGGUGAAGUCGUAACAAGGUAG
rnacentral:rRNA from 1 species